rnacentral:rRNA from 1 species
UGGGGAAUAUUGCACAAUGGGGGAAACCCUGAUGCAGCGACGCCGCGUGAACGAAGAAGGUAUUCGUAUCGUAAAGUUCUGUCCUAUGGGAAGAUAAUGACAGUACCAUAGAAGAAAGCUCCGGCUAAAUACGUGCCAGCAGCCGCGGUAAUACGUAUGGAGCGAGCGUUGUCCGGAAUUAUUGGGCGUAAAGGGUACGCAGGCGGUUUAAUAAGUCGAAUGUUAAAGAUCGGGGCUCAACCCCGUAAAGCAUUGGAAACUGAUAAACUUGAGUAGUGGAGAGGAAAGUGGAAUUCCUAGUGUAGUGGUGAAAUACGUAGAUAUUAGGAGGAAUACCAGUAGCGAAGGCGACUUUCUGGACGCAAACUGACGCUGAGGUACGAAAGCGUGGGGAGCAAACAGG